rnacentral:rRNA from 1 species
CAGCCGCCACGGUAAUACGUAGGGUGCGAGCGUUAAUCGGAAUUACUGGGCGUAAAGCGUGCGCAGGCGGUUCGUUAAGACAGAUGUGAAAUCCCCGGGCUUAACCUGGGAACUGCAUUUGUGACUGGCAAGCUAGAGUCUUGUAGAGGGGGGUAGAAUUCCAGGUGUAGCGGUGAAAUGCGUAGAGAUCUGGAGGAAUACCGGUGGCGAAGGCGGCCCCCUGGACAAAGACUGACGCUCAGGUGCGAAAGCGUGGGGGGCAAACAGGAUUAGAUACCCGCGUAGUCCCUGUCUCUUAUAC